AUGGCGCUGGCGCCGCGGAGUUCUGCUGGGCCGCGGCGGCUGCUGCCGCUGCUGGCGCUGCUGGCCCUGAGCGUGGGAGCUGUCAUCGACUGGCCCACGGAGGAGGGCAAGGAAGUAUGGGAUGAUGUGACUGUCCGCGAGGCUGCCCACAUGUUCUGGUGGCUCUAUUAUGCCACCAAUCCCUGCAAGAACUUCUCAGAACUGCCCCGGUCAUGUGGCUUCAGGGUGGUCCAGGCAGCUCCAGCACCGGAUUUGGGAACUUUGAGGAAAUUGGGCCCCUUGACAGCGACCUCAAACCACGAAGAACAACCUGGCUCCAAGCUGCCAGUCUCCUAUUUGUGGAUAAUCCCGUGGGCACUGGGUACGGUUACAUGAAUAAGGGUGGUGCACAUGCCAAGGACCUGGCUGCAGUGGCUUCAGACAUGAUGGUUCGCCUGAAGACCUUCUUUGAUUGCCACAAGGAAUUCCAGACAAUUCCAUUCUACAUUUUCUCAGAGUCCUACGGAGGAAAAAUGGCAGCUGGCAUUGGUCUAGAACUUUAUAAGGCCAUUCAGCAGGGGACCAUCAAGUGCAACUUUGCGGGGGUUGCUUUGGGAGAUUCCUGGAUCUCCCCUAUUGAUUCUGUGCUCUCCUGGGGACCUUACCUGUACAGCAUGUCUCUUCUCAAAGACAGUGGUCUGGCAGAGUUGUCUAAGGUUGCAGAGGAAGUCCUGGAUGCUAUAAAUAGUGGACUCUACAAAGAGGCCACCCAGCUACAGGAGAAAGCAGAAAUGGUCAUUGAACAGAACACCGACAGGGUAAACUUCUACAUCUUAACUAAAAGUGCACAUGAGUCUAUGCUGGAGUUGAGUCUAGAGUUCACACACAGUCACCUUGUUCGUCUUUGACAGCACCAUGUGAGACACCUGCAACGGGACACCUUAAGUCGGCUCAUGAAUGGCCCUAUCCGAAAGAAGCUCAAGAUCAUUCCUGAGGAUCACACCUGGGGAGGCCAGGCUGCCAAUGUCUUUGUACACAUGGAAGAGGACUUCAUGAGCAUCGUGGAUAAACUGCUGGCGGCUGGGGUCAACGUGACUCUGUAUAAUGGCCAGCUCGACCUCAUCGUGGACACCAUGGGUCAGGCCUGGGUACGGAAGCUCAAGUGACCAGAACUGCCCAAAUUCAACGAGCUAAAGUGGAAAGCCCUAGACAGCGACCCUAAAUCUCCAGAAACAUUUGCUUUUGUCAAGUCCCACAAGAACCUGACUUUCUACUGGAUUCUAAGAGCUGGUCACAUGAUUCCUUCUGACCAAGGGGACAUGGCUCUGAAGAUGAUGAGACUGGUGACUCAGCAAGAAUAGGAUGGACUGGGCUGGAGAAGAGCUGGUU